UACAGAGGGUGCAAGCGUUAAUCGGAAUUACUGGGCGUAAAGCGCGCGUAGGUGGUUCGUUAAGUUGGAUGUGAAAGCCCCGGGCUUAACCUGGGAACGGCACUUGAGACUGGCGAGCUGGAGUCUGGCAGAGGGGGGUGGAAUUCCACGUGUAGCAGUGAAAUGCGUAGAGAUGUGGAGGAACACCGAUGGCGAAGGCAGCCCCCUGGGCUGAGACUGACGCUCAGGCACGAAAGCGUGGGGAGCAAACAGG
rnacentral:rRNA from 1 species